AUUAUAUCUUCGUAUUUCCAUCCACUCAUCUAUCUGACUGUUCUCAGUUUUCGAUCGAUAAACUUAAAAACUUUGUAACACGAAAAUAGACCAUUUCUGAUAUUUUUGGUAGCGACGCAUAUAUCGAUUGAAAUUCAAUUUUCGAAAGUUCGUCAAAAGCAUUCUUUCUCUUUAAAUUUUAAUCGAAGCACAAUACGUUAUAUUAUUGUAACUAACAACGUUAUAUCAUGAAAUUCCUGUGUAUCGCGAAAUAAAAUGUAAUCAAGGAAAUAUCUAUGAAACGACGCCUUUAUCGAAUUCAAUAAACUAUCGAAGAAGAAGAUAUGGCAGCAAUUUGAAAGAAAGCAGGGAGGAAAGGUGAUAUAAAAAAAACGAUCCACAAGGAGAUGAUAGGCUAUUUGAAAGAACGAGAGAUAAAUUGUUGGUUUCUCUACCAGAUAUGAGUUGUCAGCUAAAGAAACUCAAUAGGAAAUUUGUGUAAUGGCACAUAUUAUUCUAUUGCUUCUCACCGUUUCAUUUAACGAUAUCGUUGAAGAUACAGAUAUAUCUUGUCGAACAAUAAAUAUACUUGUUUGCGAAAAAGCGUAAAAGAAUUAAACGACGCGGAAGACGAUAUCGUAAAUACAGGAUCGUCGAAAACGGAAACCGGAUGUCGAAGAUCUUAAAACUAGCCGAAAGCGACAUGUGGCCGAAAUUUCAAGAAGUUAAUUUUAUUCCAACCAGGUCGAUGUAACUAAUUCCCUUUCUGUGUUAUCUUGUACAUGUGUGAGAAAUUUUCCAAUACAGGAUAUCUUUAAUUUAACGGUAAAACGAGUUCUCGAUGAAAAUUAUAUUUAUAUAUGUAAGUAUAUUCAAUUAAAUUUAUAUUAAUUAUAUUGAAACGUUGAAUUCUUGGUUUAUUCGUGUUACUUACAGAAUGAAGUAUAUUGAAUUUCUAUAUUGAAAUUUUCUGUUUGAAAUAUUAUGAAAAAUUAGAAAAUUGAAAAAUUAGGAAAUUGAAAAUUGUAGUAUCAUUGAAAUUCCAGAAUUUGAUAAUAAAAGUUAAGAUAUAUAUAUCGACGUUUUGUUUAUGUGAAUAAUGAUAGAAAAAUCCGAAAGCAUAUCUAGUUUUUUUUAGUGGAAAUUCAACGUUAAAGACAGAUCUUAUAAUGUAGAGUGAUUUUCACGCCAAUAAAUUCAAAAGAUGUAUUGCGUAAACGUUAA